CCUACGGGAGGCAGCAGUGAGGAAUAUUGGUCAAUGGACGAGAGUCUGAACCAGCCAAGUAGCGUGAAGGAUGACUGCCCUAUGGGUUGUAAACUUCUUUUAUAAAGGGGUAAAACGAUGCACGUGUGCCUUUUUGCAUGUACUUUAUGAAUAAGCAUCGGCUAACUCCGUGCCAGCAGCCGCGGUAAUACGGAGGAUCCGAGCGUUAUCCGGAUUUAUUGGGUUUAAAGGGUGCGUAGGCGGCAUGUUAAGUCAGCGGUAAAAGACCGGGGCUCAACCCCGGCGAGCCGUUGAUACUGGCUGUCUUGAGAUGUGGAGAGGUAUGCGAAAUGAGUAGGGUAGCGGUGAAAUGCUUAGAUAUAGCGCAGAACUCCGAUUGCGAAGGCAGCAUACCGGCGUCGAUCUGACGCUGAGGCACGAAAGCGUGGGUAUCGAACAGGAUUAGAUACCCGAGUAGUC
rnacentral:rRNA from 1 species